CGGUGUGUAGCGCAGCUUGGUUAGCGCACGUGCUUUGGGAGCAUGGGGUCGUAGGUUCGAAUCCUACCACACCGA
rnacentral:tRNA from 1 species